AUGGCUGCGGACUGGACAUCGGCGCGCCGGGCGUGGGAGAAGUGGACCGGGAAGCAUGUCGGAUCUUCCGGGAUGCCGAUCAAGGCGGCGCUGCUGCUCAACUACGAUCCGACAGGACCAUCUCGCCUCUUCCCCAUGGUAGCAGAGCAAGAGGGAGCAAAAUUUACUGCUGUUGAUCUGCAGCCGUCCAUGGACUUCUUUAGAAGGAAUAAUCUGCAGACGGAAUUCUUUUCUAUUGGAUCAAACCAAUAUGUGGUCACCUCAAUCCACGAGCACUGGUUUUCUGCUCGUUGCGUUAACACGACACAGCCAGGAGGUGAAGGAGUUAUAAUUAUGCAGAUUGGAGCAUACUUGUUAGUCUCUAUGUAUGAUGGUUCAGUCGGUUCGGCUUCACGGGCAAUGGUGGCUGUUGAUCAGUUUGCAUGGCACUUUAACCGGAAAACACAUUAA
rnacentral:rRNA from 1 species